rnacentral:rRNA from 1 species
AGGACGAACGCUGGCGGCGUGCUUAACACAUGCAAGUCGAGCGAGGUCCAACUGGUGGCAACACCAGGGAAGACCGAGCGGCGAACGGGUGAGUAACACGUGAGCAACCUGUCCCGAAGACCGGGAUAACACCGGGAAACCGGUGCUAAUACCGGAUGUCCCCACCAAGCCACAUGGCCUGGUGAGGAAAUGGAUUCCGCUUCGGGAGGGGCUCGCGGGCUAUCAGCUUGUUGGUGGGGUAACGGCCUACCAAGGCGACGACGGCUAGCUGGUCUGAGAGGACGACCAGCCACACUGGGACUGAGACACGGCCCAGACUCCUACGGGAGGCAGCAGUGGGGAAUAUUGGACAAUGGGCGCAAGCCUGAUCCAGCCAUGCCGCGUGAGUGAUGAAGGCCUUAGGGUUGUAAAGCUCUUUCGGCGGGGACGAUAGUGACGGUACCGCAGAAGAAGCCCGGCUAACUUCGUGCCAGCAGCCGC